AUCAGCUAGUUGGUAGGGUAAAAGCCUACCAAGGCAAUGACGGGUAGGGGACCUGAGAGGGUGGCCCCCCACAAUGGAACUGAAACACGGUCCAUACACCUACGGGUGGCAGCAGUAGGGAAUAUUAGAAAUGGACGAAAGUCUGAUCUAGCGACACCGCGUGUGCGAAGAAGGCCUUCGGGUUGUAAAGCACUUUUUGGAAGGAAUAGGAAGGAAGGUACUUCCAGAAUAAGUCUCGGCUAACUACGUGCCAGCAGCCGCGGUAACACGUAGGAGGCAAACGUUAUCCGGAUUUAUUGGGCGUAAAGCGCGUGUAGGUGGUUCUGUAAGUAGGGCGUGAAAGCUCCUGGCUCAACCGGGAGAGGCCGUUCUAUACUGCAGAGCUAGAGGAUGGUAGAGGGAGGUGGAAUUCCAGGUGUAGCGGUGGAAUGCGCAGAUAUCUGGAGGAACACCAGUGGCGAAGGCGGCCUCCUGGACCAUUCCUGACACUCAGACGCGAAAGCUAGGGUAGCAAACGGGAUUAGAGACCCCGGUAGUCCUAGCCCUAAACGAUGUAGACUAGACGUCGGUGGUGUAAAAACUGUCGGUGUCCAAGCUAACGCGAUA
rnacentral:rRNA from 1 species